GAACUGAAGAGUUUGAUCAUGGCUCAGAUUGAACGCUGGCGGCAGGCCUAACACAUGCAAGUCGAGCGGAUGAAGGGAGCUUGCUCCUGGAUUCAGCGGCGGACGGGUGAGUAAUGCCUAGGAAUCUGCCUGGUAGUGGGGGAUAACGUCCGGAAACGGGCGCUAAUACCGCAUACGUCCUGAGGGAGAAAGUGGGGGAUCUUCGGACCUCACGCUAUCAGAUGAGCCUAGGUCGGAUUAGCUAGUUGGUGGGGUAAAGGCCUACCAAGGCGACGAUCCGUAACUGGUCUGAGAGGAUGAUCAGUCACACUGGAACUGAGACACGGUCCAGACUCCUACGGGAGGCAGCAGUGGGGAAUAUUGGACAAUGGGCGAAAGCCUGAUCCAGCCAUGCCGCGUGUGUGAAGAAGGUCUUCGGAUUGUAAAGCA
rnacentral:rRNA from 1 species